UGAGUACGAGCAGCUACGGCCGCGAAGUGGAUGAUGUCAAGCUUCCAAGAAAAGCCCUAUACCCGUUAAGGCAUGAUGGCCUGUACCCGAAACCGACACAGGUGGGGUGGUAGAGAAUACCGAGGGGCGCGAGGUAACUCUCUCUAAGGAACUCGGCAAAAUGGCCCCGUAACUUCGGGAGAAGGGGUGCCACCGCGAGGUGGUCGCAGUGAAGAGGCCCAGGCGACUGUUUACCAAAAACACAGGUCUCCGCUAAGUCGCAAGACGAUGUAUGGGGGCUGACGCCUGCCCAGUGCCGGAAGGUUAAGGAAGCUGGUCAGCGCAAGCGAAGCUGGCGACUGAAGCCCCGGUGAACGGCGGCCGUAACAAUAACGGUCCUAAGGUAGCGAAAUUCCUUGUCGGGUAAGUUCCGACCCGCACGAAAGGCGUAACGAUCUGGGCGCUGUCUCGGAGAGAGGCUCGGCGAAAUAGAAUUGUCUGUGAAGAUGCGGACUACGUGCACCCGGACAGAAAGACCCUAUGAAGCUUUGCUGUAGCUUGGUAUUGUGCUCGGGCUCGGAAUGCGCAGGAUAGGUGGGAGGCUUUGAUCCAUUGCUUGCGGGUGAUGGUGAGCCACUGGUGAGAUACCACUCUUUCCGAGCUAGAGUUCUAACAGCAACCCGUUAUCCGGGUGCUGGACAGUAUCAGGUGGGCAGUUUGACUGGGGCGGUCGCCUCCUAAAAGGUAACGGAGGCGCGCAAAGGUCUGCUCAGGCUGGUUGGAAAUCAGCCGACGAGUGUAAAAGCAGAAGCAGGCUUGACUGUGAGACCUACAAGUCGAACAGGGAGGAAACUCGGCUUUAGUGAUCCGACGGUUCUGCGUGGAAGGGCCGUCGCUCAACGGAUAAAAGUUACUCUAGGAUAACAGGCUGAUCUCCCCCAAGAGUUCACAUCGACGGGGAGGUUUGGCACCUCGAUGUCGGCUCAUCGCAACCUGGGGCUGAAGUCGGUCCCAAGGGUUGGGCUGUUCGCCCAUUAAAGCGGUACGCGAGCUGGGUUCAGAACGUCGUGAGACAGUUCGGUCCAUAUCCGGUGCACGCGCAGGAAUAUUGAGAGGAUUUCUCCCUAGUACGAGAGGACCGGGAGGAACGCACCUCUGGUGUGCCAGUUAUCGUGCCAACGGUAAACGCUGGGUAGCCAUGUGCGGAGUGGAUAACCGCUGAAAGCAUCUAAGUGGGAAGCCCACCUCAAGAUGAGUAUUCCCAUGGCAUAAGCCAGUAAGGUCACGGGAAGAACACCCGUUGAUAGGCUCUACGUGGAAGCGCAGUAAUGUGUGAAGCGGAGGAGUACUAAUAGACCGAGGGCUUGACCAA
rnacentral:rRNA from 1 species